UACAAAAUGCAGUAGUUUUCUACAAAAGCUGCCCAACUAGCAAACACAAUGCUGAACUGCCUAGCCUUGCUUACAUGGGAAACAGCUUGAAUAUCUUGUUAAAAGGCCAAUUAAUUGUAGGAAUGACUGGAUGUGCUAGAAAUUGAAAUACAGUCUAAUAUUAUAAGACAUUUCCUCUGCCUCAAUCUGAGAUAAGGUAUUUCUUUGCAUGACAGGAAGAAGUUAUGAUAUUAUUUAAACCUUUUCCUCACCCACAAAAUGAAGGUUUAGAGAAGGAAAGUUGGAUUUGCAGCUUUCAGGUUGCAAUGCAUUUUAAAACGGACCUUCUAUGCACUCCAUUUCCACCCAAAGCUCUGCAAUUCUAUUUCUGUGCUGCUUCUUUAGCAGAAUUUGCAACAAGCAUCAUUUCACAGAGAAUUUGUUUAAUGAGUGUCACCUUGUGACACUGCCUGGCUUGUGACUAAAGCCCGGGGCUUCAUUUUUUGUUAUUCUCAAAGCAUGAAGAGAUACAAAGAGAUAUAAUUCACAGAACACAAUCCCCCUUAUAAAGCUAGAAUGGUAAAAAUAUGUAUUUUCAAAAGAUGGCUGUGUUCCCUUCAGGCAAGGAAUAAUGUAUUUUUUGGCCACAUGUAUAACCUUUUCAAAUUUCUUUUAUUAUUUUUAGUGCUGAAGCCAUAAGUAGUCUAGAAACUGGACUGUUACUUUCAACAAAGAUAUAAUUGGAAGGUUUCCCCACAAAAGUUCUACUCAGGAAAGCUUAUCACAGCAAAGUCUCAGAUGUUUACAGCUGCUUCUCUAUGGAGACAAAUUUAUAUUUAGGAAGCCCACUAGUUCUUUGUAGUACUGUGAAGUCCAGCCCCUGAAUGGCACCAAGACAAGACUCAGCAGUACGGAAGGAGGAAUCAUUUCACUGCAGCACUGUGAUGGGAGAAACCAUGCCAGGAAAAUUGGCCCGUCAUCAUCUCUUAACCAUUUUUAGCAGCCUAUAGUAAGGCCUGCCAAUUAACAGUAGCAAAGUUUAUCGAUUUUGUUUUCCCAUUGCACAUAACCCUCUGGGCAAGCUGGAUAAUCAUCUCCUUUUGACUUCUUGCUAGCAUGCCUGCUUUCGCACACUGCAAAAUCAAGAGUGGCAAAAGGUCUCCCUCCCCUUUGGAUCUGUGUUCAUUCCAAACCCUUGAAGUAGCAAACAUUUCACCCAGCUUUUAGUUUAUGAUGAAAACAUGGAGCAAAAAAGAAAAGAAAAAGAAAACAAGUAUUCAGAUAAUACAUCUUAAAAUAGUUCAAUGUUUUCUUGACAAUGUGCUAUUCUGCAACAGAACAUCCCAGUUGAACCCCACAGAUUAGAGGGCAGUGCCUACUGCAAUACACAGCCUCCAUUCAUCUGACAAGGGCUUGUGGGUACAAGACCCAUUGAACCAGUUGAGAAUUGCAUACUGACACCGCUUUGUGGAUAACAUUGAAAUUACAAUAUCAUAGAAUGGAACCAUAUCAGCUAUUUUCCUUUCAUUGGUAUGGGUUUUACUUUCUAACACAGUACUCCAUUCCUACUUAGUACUGGGCCCAUUUCCAUUUAAGUUCAUACCCUUAUUUUGGUUGAAGCACUCACAUAACCUAUCAUCAAUGGGAGGAACCCAUUCACUGUGGUUUGGUCACACAAUUACAACCUACCAGAGCUUUCUAAACUUUUCAUGUUGGUGACACACUUUUUAGACAUGCAUCAUUUCACAACACAGUAAUUCAGUUUUACUAGCAAACUGGAGGUUAAAUUAACCCCUUCCAGCCCUGGGAGGAGUGCGGGGGUGUUUGCAUGACACACUUAUACACAGCAGCCAACACACAUGUCACGACACAGUUUGGAAAGCUCUGACCUAAAUGGUUGUGAAUUCACCUUUAGAAAGCAACUGAAGUUCCCAUGUGGAGUUAGGGUAGCUUUAUGAGGACUCCAGCUGAGGGAGGGAGGCUGGAAAAAACACUCUACAUUGGUCCUUUCCCCCUUCAUCCAGUCUCAGGUCUCCAACAUUCUCUGAUAUUUCUAUUUGAAUGUCUAUCACCCCAAACUCAAUUAUGCCUGAGCCUGAAUUUUUCAUAUUUGCCCCUAAACCUGCCUCUCCUCAAUUACUCCUCAUCUCUGAUGAUAGCAUCAUCAUCCACUCUAUUGUCCCAGAACAAAGCCUUGGCUUUAUUUUUAAUC